UCUGCUCAGAACGAACGCUGGCGGCGUGUUUAAGACAUGCAAGUCGAACGGAGUAAGUCUUGUAGCAAUACACGAUUUGCUCAGUGGCGCACGGGUGCGUAACACGUGAGUUACAUGCCCUGUAGUGGGGAAUAGCCCGCCGAAAGGCGGAUUAAUACCCCAUGGUUCCGCAAGGAUAAAGGUGGCGAAAGCUGCCGCUACAGGAUUGGCUCGCGUCCUAUCAGCUAGUUGGAGAGGUAACGGCUCACCAAGGCAACGACGGGUACCUGGUCUGAGAGGACGAUCAGGCACACUGGAACUGAGACACGGUCCAGACACCUACGGGUGGCAGCAGUCGAGAAUAAUUCACAAUGGGGGAAACCCUGAUGGUGCAACGCCGCGUGGAGGAUGAAGGUCUUCGGAUUGUAAACUCCUGUCAUUCAAGAGUAAGACCUGGCGGUGAAUAGCCGACAGGGUUGAUAGUAUUGGAAGAGGAAGGGACGGCUAACUUCGUGCCAGCAGCCGCGGUAAUACGAAGGUCCCGAGCGUUGUUCGGAAUCACUGGGCGUAAAGGGAGCGUAGGCGGCGUGGUAAGUCAGAUGUGAAAUCCCGGGGCUCAACCCCGGAACUGCAUCCGAUACUGCCAUGCUAGAGGACUGGAGAGGUGACUGGAAUUCUCGGUGUAGCAGUGAAAUGCGUAGAGAUCGAGAGGAACACUCGUGGCGAAGGCGAGUCACUGGACAGUAUCUGACGCUGAGGCUCGAAGGCUAGGGGAGCGAAAGGGAUUAGAUACCCCUGUAGUCCUAGCAGUAAACGGUGCACGCUUGGUGUGAGGGGAAUCGACCCCCCUUGUGCCGGAGCUAACGCGUUAAGCGUGCCGCCUGGAGACGCGUU
rnacentral:rRNA from 1 species